GUUCAGCCUUUGAAACAUACUUACCUGGACGGGGUCAAUGGGCGAUCAUGGAGACUCAUGGCCUAGGUUGGUGACCUCCAUUGCACUUUAGGAGGGGUGCCCGCCUAAGGUCUGCCCAAAGUGGCAGAGCCUACGUCAUAAUUUGUGGCAGUGGGGGCCUGCGUUCGCGCGGCCCCUUCCCAAAACUAGUUGAACAAAUUGGCGGCUGAUUAUUAAUUAGUACUUUUAAUAAGUCGGUUUCCACGAUUUUGUUACACGUUAGUCAUUUCCAGAGCGCGGGCAUUUCGUAUGUUUGAUUGACCUUACUUUAGUCUUCGUCUUCAUGUUACUACCGUUAAUGGGUGAUUUCGUAUUACGUUCUUUUCUGUGGCCUUUCCAGACUCUCGUGGAGGUUUAAGAAUUCUAAUUCUAAUCUGUCAUUUACUUUGCUAUUUGGUCCAUUUUUUUUCUUUUUACUUUUGGACUGCGAAUUCCUAUAGAUUGAACCUUUGACAGUUCGAUAUUACAUUCGAUUGCGAGUCGUUCUUGUUGAGAAAUUUCCAUUCCGCACUUGUUUUUCUGUUGGUGUUCGUAUUUGCUACUGGAGAACAAGUGCACUAAUAUUUUUUGGCGUUUUUGUUUAGUGGCGGUACUUCUGUUUGGUUUAAUACGUUCUACCAAUUUGAUGACAGAAAGUUUGGAUGCUUUCUGAAAACGAGCUUUUGUUAUCGUUAGGUUUGGAUGCGGUAAUUUUUAUGCGAAUUAUGAUUUUCAGGUUACUAAGUUCAUUCAGGCAAUUGUUUAUCUUUUCCAUUUUCUAUCGUGGGGGAGUUGCAUAUGCUAAGAUUUGAUUCUCUUUGAACUGAACAGAACUAAAAAAGGUUCGCAGUUGGGCUAAAAAGCUCCGAAGAAGUUACUAUGAAUGCAGGAGCUAAUUUACUUCCUGCCUACGCUAAAAACUGAAAGCAAAGCAAGAAGUGCAUUUUCCUUUAGAAGUUAUAUUUGGGUGAAGUUCCUUAUUUGUGUGAUUAGGUGACUUCCAUCUUUUGUUUGUUUUAUUUGUACUACAUUCUUACCGGUUUUUGGUGGAAAAUAACAUGUGGGGAAGUGAGAUCAAUGGUAAAGCAUUGGUUUGCUUUUGUCUUGUUGUUUUAUAUCCUUUAACGGUCACUUUUGGUUCUCUAUCUUCAGGAUUUCAACUGAAAACAUUACUUGAUUAAUACUAGAAGUAUAUCUGUUGUCUAGCCAGGCAACCAUUUCUGUAUAUAGCAAUGGACAUUGUCCAUUUAUUAAAAUUGUGUUUUCUUGUCGAGUAUGCAAGUUCGUUUUCAUGGCUGCCAUUUCAUGUUCUCACAAUGUGUUUUGAUAUUUUCUUUUCUUGUUCGUGCUGACUUAAUCGGAACUCAUUGCGUUGCUCACAUUCUUCAGGGUUUAAUCUUGGAAAGAGCAGCUUCCUUCGAUGAUAAAAUUUUAAAUCUGCUGGAGUACGACUAUAUUUCUUCAAGAAUGAUCGGCUAUUUUGUUCAUCCAAGCCUCUGUUUCAUCAGCUUACCAUCUUAGUUCGCGCAGUUCCUGCUUUUGGGGGGAGAAGUAUCGGUGACAGUGUUGAGAAUUUCUUCACAUUAACCCUUCAACCUAAGUAAACCUCGAGGUCUCAUGAAUGAUGCAAAAACACAUUACAGAAGAUGCUUUUUCUUGAGCAAUUUCUGAAUCCAUGGAAGCAAAACAAAGUUGACAGAAAGUAAAAUAGACGAGCCAGCUCAAGUCAUUCAUAAGGGCCACAGUGAUAUGACUGUUCACAUGUCAUUAUUUUUAUUCCUUUUCAUAGGUCUAAAACAUCAUUAUUGCUAAAUUCACCACUAAUGAGUUCUACUUUUGUCCUCUUUUGGCCCCCACAGUAAAUGGCGUUGAGUUUUAUUUAUUUAUUAUCUGAAUUUUUUAUUGCCAAGAUAGUUACCUGCGCUUCCUUUGAUUAGAUUAUAAUUGUAUGGCCCUCUCUACUGGUUAUUACUACAAUCUAUUCGUAGAACUGAUGUAUCUUA